AGUGAACGCUGGCGGUAGGCCUAACACAUGCAAGUCGAACGGCAGCACAGUAAGAGCUUGCUCUUACGGGUGGCGAGUGGCGGACGGGUGAGGAAUACAUCGGAAUCUACUUUUUCGUGGGGGAUAACGUAGGGAAACUUACGCUAAUACCGCAUACGACCUACGGGUGAAAGCAGGGGAUCUUCGUACCUUGCGCGAUUGAAUGAGCCGAUGUCGGAUUAGCUAGUUGGCGGGGUAAAGGCCCACCAAGUCGACGAUCCGUAGCUGGUCUGAGAGGAUGAUCAGCCACACUGGAACUGAGACACGGUCCAGACUCCUACGGGAGGCGGCAGUGGGGAAUAUUGGACAAUGGGCGCAAGCCUGAUCCAGCCAUACCGCGUGGGUGAAGAAGGCCUUCGGGUUGUAAAGCCCUUUUGUUGGGAAAGAAAAGCAGCAGGUUAAUACCCCGCUGUUCUGACGGUACCCAAAGAAUAAGCACCGGCUAACUUCGUG
rnacentral:rRNA from 1 species